rnacentral:Y_RNA from 1 species
GGCUGGUCCGAGUACAGUGGUGUUGACAACUAAAUCGAUCACAACCAGUUACAGAUUCCUUUGUUCCUUCUCCACUCCUACUGCCUCACCUGACUAGCCUUAA